UACGAAGGGGGCUAGCGUUGUUCGGAAUUACUGGGCGUAAAGCGCGCGCAGGCGGUCCUUCAAGUCAGAGGUGAAAGCCCAGGGCUCAACCCUGGAAUUGCCUUUGAGACUGAGGGACUUGGGUACGGGAGAGGUGAGUGGAAUUCCGAGUGUAGAGGUGAAAUCCGUAGAUAUUCGGAAGAACACCAGUGGCGAAGGCGGCUCACUGGCCCGUUACCGACGCUCAGGCGCGACAGCGUGGGGAGCAAACAGG
rnacentral:rRNA from 1 species